ACCCCACGAAGGUGUCACCUCCACGUGGUGUGGGGUGGGCAACUCACCCAUAUGGGUGAGGCUGAGAACACC
rnacentral:ribozyme from 1 species